UGUUGAUGAAGCUGCCAUAGACUCAUGUUUUGGUUUGCACACCUGUUCUCAAUUCCUUAAGGCAAGCCACCUGACUGCAACAGAAAAAGGAGACGAAGACAAGACCAAAAGAUUCAAAGGAACCUGCCUUGCAAUGGCAGCUCCCAGCAAUAACGACUCACGUCUCUGAUGGAGAAACAGAAGAUCCAAGAGGUCACCGCUCACCCACGAGUGCGAAGGAUGAAAUUCAACCCCGGCUCUGCCUGGCUCC